UAAAUUACUCCCUUCUCAUUGCUAAUCGUAUUAUCUAACGAAUUUAUACUUAUUCAAAUUCUUAUUUGCUAGUCAAGGCCAAUACUCAAACUAUGUUAAUUACUAACAUAGUUUUAUCUUGAUCAUUAUAUCAUUAACUUAAUUCAUCAUUCCUCUUGCUAAAAUAUAUAUAGCACCUUACUAAGUAUAUAUAUUUCUAUACAUAUACUCAUCUUCGUUUAACCUCAUAGCAUCUCUUCAUGUGAAAUCUUAUCUCCAAUAAUAAAAUUUCCAUAUGUACUUAUAUAACAUUUUUUUUUAGACUAUUCCGUUCACAUCGAAUUUAAAGGUAUCGUAAUACCUUAUUCUUAAUAUUCCUUCAAGUACAUAUUAAUUCAUUUCUAGGGUUUUGGAAUUUUGUAACCCAUAUUUCCUCUAUUCUUAUUCGAAUAGCAAACCAUAUAGGUUUUACUUGAAAAUUUUUAAAUAAAU
rnacentral:lncRNA from 1 species